GCUGUCGACAUGGGGUGUGUGUCCACGCGAGCUGCCUACCUAGACAGCAUUGAGCAUCGCAGGGGGCACCGACUGUCAUGUUUUCCUGGACUGCAUGCACCAGCCAAGCAACUACCAUAGAGAUGAAGUGCUAUGACAAAUAGAUCUCCAGAAUGGAUCAGUCAUUACUCAGAAGUUUUCUACAGUUGACACAGGAGCCGGGAUAGGCCAAUUACAGCAGGACCGUUACUCAACCUUGCGAUCCCUAGAUCACCUCACCUUCAUUAAACGUCUACCCUCUUUCACAUCAGCAUCCCAACAGAAAGCCAAUGUGCCCUGCCAGUCUCUUUUUUCUUCAACCUGGGACUGUUUAGACAAGCUUUUAUCUUAAGCUCAAGAUCACUGUGGUCUCAGCAUAAAU